GGCCCCUUGGUCAAGCGGUUAAGACACCGCCCUUUCACGGCGGUAUCACGGGUUCGAAUCCCGUAGGGGUCA
rfam:Sporosarcina sp. P33, complete genome.